UGAUGCAAAUUUUGCCAUCUCAAUAGGAAU
rnacentral:piRNA from 1 species